UCCUGACAAAGUUCUUGUGGGAGUACCUGCUCAACAGCCUAGAGAUAUUGCCAUAGCACUAGGCCCUGGAGGUCCCCGUGGAGCACCGUCAAGGACCUGAUAGGGUUGGACAAGACUUGACGGUGGUGAGUAGGGCUGAUAACAUCCUGCUCUGCCUUGAGCAGUGGUUUCCCGGCCUCUCACAGACCACGCUGGACGCAAGCAAGAUACAAUAAAAUAAGAAUAGAAGGAGUUGAUGGGCAUGGUGUGAUCAGCAACACAAAGAGGAAUAUGCAUGCCAAUGCUUCCCUUGGUUAGCAUACUUUCAAUUUCCGGUUCUUUUCACUUUCAUAUUUAUCUGUUGUUUUGGUGGUACACUGCAAUAUGUAUCUAACUUAUUUGAAUUUUUGGUUCUUUUGAACAUGGAUGUAUACCAAAUCACUUGUGUGCUUCAAUCAUUGUUAAAUUUUCUGUUUAUGUUGUACGCUGAUUCACAAAAUAUAGCCAAAUUAAGGUAGACAGUAUGGCUUGAACAAUAUUAUAUGUACUGCCUAUUCUUUGGUAAAGCAAUACUGCCUUUGUGGUGUGCAACUGCACAAGUUAAUUGGGCAAGUGUCAUUUUCUGCCUAAUGGAUGUAAUCUUAGAUGAUUGUUUUAAGCAGAUCAAAAGAGAGAUGCCCACAAUGAAGCUUGCUAGGCAUCCUACUGUUGUCAGGCUACUGUAUCUACUUUAUGGUAGAUGCUCAUAAUGAAGCUUACUAGGCAUCCUACUGUUGUUGUCAGGUUACUGUAUCUACUUUCUGAAAGAUGUUGGUAUUGCUACAAGUAUUGCCUAAUGGACCAAGCAAGAAGUGGACUAUCAGCCUUCUGAGUUUCCUGUCAUCCUUGACAUCGAGAAGAUGCACCCCAAGCCGUCUCUGCACUACAAGUGCUGAUCAAAACGUACGGAGGGAUGUCUGGCUGGUUAUUUCAACAUGCAAUAAGUGGAGAGAUUUCGUCGGCAAUUACAUGAGGCGCCGAACAUCAUGAAUCUUAUUUCAUACUUUCAGUCAUCUAACACGACCAAAAGACUAGAUCGAUUUCCUUUGUAGAAAAGGAGCCUCAUUCAAAGUCAAGAGCUAGCCAUGUGAUUCCAUCUAUCGUGCAAGCAAAGCAGCUGGAUCCAUAAUCAUGUAUGGUACAUGAUACCUGAUGGCUAGCUAAAGAUCACCUGAUGAAAUAAAGAGUUCCAACAUUUAAUAAAAUGUGACUUACAUAUAGAUAAGUGGAGUGUUUUUGCAUUUUAUAUGUCCAUGUAGUUAUUUGCUUCCGUACAGUAUAAUAUUAUUUUCUGUAAAUAUUCACAAGUAGCACUCUUUUUUGUUUACGUCCCUAACCAUGCAUAUAUUAAUUACCCACUCUAACCCCAUGUUAUAAUACAGCGGAGAAGUUCUGAACCUUCUAUUUUGUGAAGAUUAGUUUAGAGCUGAGAUAUAACAUGUAUUUACCAAAGAUAGUUUCUCGGACCAUACCACCUACAACUCCUUGAGUGGGAAGGUUUUUUUUCAUGGCGAGAACAACUUGAUUUGGUUGUUAAUUAGGCCAUCCGACUUAUAUUCCCUGCUUUUGUCCACGAUAUGCAUAAUCUAAUUGCGGCACUCUGUUGUGGUGCUGGUCGACUGUGCCUGCUCGCCGCCGACUGGUCUGGGUGGCACUACCGCCGCGGUAUGAAAGCUCCUCUGGUAUGUCUAUGUUCCUCAACAUUUUUCAUUGAUGCCCGCCUUGAUGUCGCUGGAUACAUGUCAUUUCUUGGUCGUGCCUGAUUGAAAUUAUAUUAAUAUUAAAGCAUGUGAAUUUGUCACGUAUUAUUUGAGUCCCAUGUUUAAUGAAUUUUAUGAAUGUAUAAACACAAUACCCCUGUUACUCCUCACUUUAUUUGUUUCAGCAAUUUCUCCGGUUCAUGCUACUUAUUUUAUGAAAUCUUGUUUUGCUAUUACACCAUGUGCUGUGUCACUAAGUUUCAGAUUAUAGCCUUCCCAUGCAGUAUCAUUAUGAUGUAUCCCGUGGAGUAUCAUUAUGCAGUAUCCCAUGCAGUAUAUGCAAAAUUCAUCGUUUUUGGAUUGUAUAAUGCAUAUUACGGCAUCACUUUUUCCGCCUCAACCAACUUGCUUCACCUGUGAUCGUAGUGUCCUCUGUCCUCUUUCAUUUUCACCAGCGACAAGUGACUUACAACUAAUGAUACUGCAAAUCAUAUAUUAUUGCACCACUAGAAGAUUAAUUCAGUGAUCACAGAACCUACCAUAGCUUCUUUCAGAUACAGUAAUUCAGUUUGGAACACUAGAAGCUUAAUUUAGUUUGGAACAUCAACCAUGAGUCCUUUGUACUCUUAUAGAUUAUAGUGUUGUUUCCUGUGCAUCCUCUUUCAUGCAAACACAUAUUAUCAGGAGUCAUAUUUUGAAUUCUUGGCAAUAAAUUGAGCUACAUGGAGUAGCAGAGUAAAUACCUUGAACCUCAGUUGCUUUUAAGUUUUGCUAUGCCCUCCAAGUUAAGAUUCGGUUAUAGGGAAAGAACACCAUUGCUUCACGGGAUGAAUCUUUUAGUCAAACUAGAUCUAGAGCUAGAGCCUUGACAUAAUCAUUGUGUUACUUGUUGUCUAUGAGAGUUGGUUAUUUGUUUCUUGCAUGAUCUAUGAGAGUUGGUUACUUGUUGUCUACCAUGCUUAGCGUGAACCUUAUAAAACAUGGGAAGUGUUCGAUGGUCCUAAUGAUCAAUUACUCUAGCCUGAACAACCAUUGUGUUAGUCAUUCGUAUUUAACUAUGCUAAAUGGAGUGUUUUGAUGUGGAAUAAUGUACAUUCAUAAUAUGUUGCUGAUUUUGGACAAAGAUAGUUUAGAAAAGAUAUCUUGACUGCUGUUUAUGGGAACCUAAUUCUUCCUAAUGGUUCAGACAAAUAUCCUGACUAAUGGCGAUGGGGAAGUGGUUCAGACAAAUCUUCUUGCUGACUAACAAAAAUUGUUCCACCUGUAUUGGGAUAUUCCAACAACCUAAGCAUCCUUGGAGUACUCGAUCAAAAAAUGCAAGAUUUGUUUGUAUACCCAGUUUGUUCUAGCCAUGGAUGGUGAACAAGCAAUGUGCAUCAUAGGGUAUGCUUGUCAGAGUGCUGACAUAGAAGUUCAGAAAGUGCAAAUAAUAAAGACAUCUCAUGGAAGGUCGUGUGAGUACAUAGAUGUGAAGGAAAAUAUGUUGAGUAUAUUGGGCCUGAUACCAGAAAACCCGUUUUGGGUCCUUGGUAUUGCAGCUUGUUUGCACCACAGGGUUCUUGGUUAUACU